UACGAGCUCGCGGCACGUACCGAAAAAAGAAGAAUUACUUUCCGGUUGAGUUAUGAGCGUGGCAUAAUCGGGUGCUUAUCGUGUUCAAGCGAACGCGAGUUCUCUCCGCCCGGUGUCGCAAGAAAACGGGACCGAGAUGAUCGCGCGUUGCUGCGACCAACCGGACCGCAGUUGUGCAAGAAAAGGAGAAGGAUGGGGAAAAUAGUGGACAAGAGCGCGGACGUGACAAGCAGCCGAACACGCGGCCGUGAAGGAUGCGGGCCAUUGAAUUGAGUGCCCUACACAGAGUCCAGUUCUCGAACCGAACUUUCAAGCAGCGAACUUCAACGAGCUGCUCAAGAGGAUUCGCUCCAUAAAGAAUAAGUCCGGACGGAUUUUCGUCCGCGUACGAGUUCGCGCCGAGUGUUUCUCGGUUUUGCCCUUCGACGCAUCACGGACCGGAGACACAAGUGACUACAACAAUAGAAUCACCGUUUCGAUAUGUGUAACCUAUAGUUCAAUUAAUAAGUUGACUGCCACACCAGCGCCUCUAAAAGUCGCAUAGAAUCAAGACGUAUUGUCAAGACGUAUUAUCAACACGAUUUAUCGUCGCGAUUGUUUUUACAAUUCUCUUGCACGUUGUAGAUCAGAACACUUUAAGUGGCGAAAAUCAACCCCAAAAAUUUCCGCAGAAUCUACGGAAUUUGAUUAAUAGUGGAUGGUAUUAUAACUAUUUUGCAUUCUAGACAUCCUAGUAAAAUUCAAUUUGUUGUUGUUCAACAACAAAUUGUUGUUGUUCAAUUGAAUCAAUCAGGGUGCAAAUGUAUUUUGGAAAUUGUGAACAAAUUAAUGUCACCCUCAACUUAGAUUGCCUUGCAAUCAAAAUUCAUCUUCCAGUCAGGCAAUCAAACUGUUAAAUGAUCCAUUCCCCCUAUAAGGAACCGUUAAAUGAUCGAUUCCUCCUUUUAAAAUUACAAUUAAUUACGAUCCGGAGAAUUUAUUAAAUGGUUCAUGAGUGAGAGUUGACAACAAUAGGAGAGAAAAAGAUGGGACGUUCAAUCGGUUAGCUGGAAAGCUAAAGAUAAGUGACACCAAGAUUACUGGAAUGACAUUUCUGGUAAUUCGCCAGCCCGAAAAGUUUUUAAAUGGUGAUAAAAUGUAAAGUUCAAUGGUAUUAAAUGCAGUUUUAGGUUCCUCUUUAUAUGUUAUAUCUGCAGAAGUUAUUAUUACGGGGAAUAAAAUUCUUCCUCACUCAACUCCUUUAAGGUUCACUUGCGAAAUGUGAGUUUGCAUAAACGUGCACAGUCUAAAAAUUACAUUCUCCUUUAUUCUACUAUCUCUUAUCAUGCAAACUUCGUAGAAGCACUUGCGUCUAUGAGUGCGCAUUCCGUUCUAUACUCUUUCUUAUCGUUGCUAUUGUUCCUGUUUUAGGUCAAACGAAUCCGAAUCUUAUUCAUGUAUUAUAUACUUACAAAUGUUAAAUAUCUAAAAUAAACGUGUAUUUAUAUUGAUACCCAGGA